UGUUUCCGAUCGCGGUUCGAAUGGUGAAAUACAUUAUUUUGUAACCCCAAUCCCCGAUCGAUAUUUGCACUCGGAGGGGAGAAACAUAUUUUGUGAGUUUUUUUUUUACUUGUGCAGUGCUUUCACCACGGUAGAAACAAGGCUGACUCGGUUGAGGCGGCCCGGGGGUAAGAUUCCACCCAGCCGUAAGGGGUGUCGAACGUGGUGCAUCGAAGGGUGAUUGGAAAUCGGAUUUGAUGUUUUUUUUCGACUCGUUCAUCAUUGGAAAAUUUUUGGAAGGGAUCGAUUUUUUCCGAUGAUGAUGGAUGUUAUUUUCGCUCGCUCAAUCCGCUUGGUUCAAUGACAUUCAGUCUGGGCGAAGACCUUGAUGACAAUUGCGUUUCAUUCGCUGAAAAUGAUACAUGGCAUGGAUUGAAUGUCGCAGUCGUGGAUGAAAUGGAAUAAAUUGUAAUUCCCAAGCUGAAAACUACUCGCCUACUGUGUGCACCCCGACUUUCAACCCGCACUCACCUUCACGUCUCGGACAGAAGUGGGUUCGCGCUAAUAUAAUACGUACACAUUUACAGUGUACAGUUAAAAAUCGUGAGAUGACACAAAAUAUGCUUUCCACCGGCCUGCUUUGUCACUCUGAUGUGUGAUGGGUUGCUUUGUAUGACGAAUGCGUUUCGACUUCUUUUGUCCCGGAUUCUGACGGUCGUUGGUUCUCACACACUAACUCCGAGACAUUAAGGUUGUUGCUGGUACGGGCUGGGGCAAUUGCCAAGCAAAUUGCCUUUUAAAAUGAGAAUUGGUAAUUGGAUUUGUUUGCUGGCGGGUUUACCGAGCAUACAAAUUAAAUGGAUUAUCGCAGCGGAGCUUGUGAGUUUUCACUAUGAUGGUUUGUAGUAGUAUGUAGUAGCAUUUCAAGUAAGACAAGAGUAAAUGUUCCAAGAAAGUUGCUCUCGGUAGGAAAAUCGAUAACGAGUGGGUGGCAGCUAAAAGCAUUGUAUGCUUGCAGUAUGAUUGGAUCGAGUGAAAAUAGUGAUUUUUUUGGAAAAAUCGUCCCCGUUUCCAAAAAGAAGAAUUUUUUUGUAGUCGAUC